CACCACUAACUACCAACUGACAACUGACCACUACCACCAAUAACUGCCACCACUAACUACCAACCAACCAACCAACCAACCAACCAACAACUACCAUCUACCAACCAACUGACAACUGACCACUACCACCAAUAACUACCAACCAACUGACCACUACCAAGUACCACCACUGACUACCAAGCCUUUUUUCUUGAUACAAAGAAAAUUUUUGACUGGAUCAUUUCCUUGCAAAACUCUUCCAUAUAACAGCAUACUAAUUUAGGCCACACAAUCCAUAGCAUUCAAUUCCACAUUCCAAAUGCACCUUUUACAUUUACUAACAGACACAAUGUUACUUCAUAUCUGGAAUGUCUGACAUUCUAAAAGCUUAUUUUAAUACUGUUGGGCCAUUCUAGAUGUUGUGUUUGUCUUAAAACUGGUUUGAAACAGUGAUCAAUUGAAAACAGGACUGACUGUGAAAUAGCCUUUCAUGCACUCAAUUGUAUAUAUAUAUAUAUAUCUCACAGAAAACAAAACCAAGCACAGUGAAUGCUUUUGUAUUCUUCAACUGUUGUUCUCAUGCUAUAGAAUUGUUUAUUGCUAAUAUUCCUUCCUACCUUGCACAAUGAGUUGCUUGACAUUGACAAAGGAGAGGGUCUCUGGUGGAGAAUAAUGCACAACAUAACCUGUUUCAAAUCAAGGGCCCUUACCCCACCUAAACUGAUACAGUGGUUGCAUUUUGUUUUUCAGAGUCUGAUAGCCAUAAUAUUGCUCCUGCAUUUUAAUGGAAGUGGAUUAGUAGCAGUCAAACUAGAUAAAGUAAAUGUUGCUUACCCAUCCAGAGCAGGCAUUUGGUGUUGACUAUCAUGGAGUGUUCACAAAUUGUUCACAUUUAUACUUUGGCUUUGUACUUGUCCAAGCACUGGAAACUUCCCAUGAUAUUGUUCCUGGUGGUAAUGUUGGUUACUAUAGUUGUGGCUGACUUGCAGUUAACAUAGGUUAACAUGUGAAAACAUUCUAGGCAUUCUAGGCAGCAGCAUUUCUGAGUAGACAACAACUAUUUACUGUAUGGGGUGGUUUGGAUUUUGCUAACAAUAACAUCUAGAACUUUUGUUCCUUCUGGUUGCAGUUUUGGAGAAGACUAUUAACACAAACUACAUAUAAUCCUUGUUGACACCCAUUAUUUUCACAGUAACAUUCCAAGCACCACCAACAAAUAUAUUGGUAAAUAGUUGUUGU
rnacentral:rRNA from 1 species